rnacentral:ncRNA from 1 species
GUAAAGUUUGAUUCUAGCUUAUAACUUAAAUUUAAGAUUAUUUUACAUGUAAAUUUUUAUAUUAUUUUUAUUAUCUAAAUGAUAUUAAUUAAUAUCACAGUAUAUAGUAUUAUAUAUUAGUAAGAUUAGAUAUAGUAAUUUUUAUUAGAAUGGACCAAUCUCGUGCCAGCAGUCGCGGUUAUACGAUUCAUUUAAUUUAAGUAUUUAGAUUCCAGUUAAAUUAAAUUUGAUUAUAAAUUUUAUAAAUUUUGGUGAAAUAUAUUUAUAAAUAAAUUCCAUUAUUAUGUCUGAGAAACCCAAUUUUAGACUAGGAUUAGAUACCCUAUUAUUUAGGGUGUAAAAAUAAAUAAUUAGAUAAUUAAAAGUUAUGAUCUUCAAAUUCAAAGAAUUUGGCGGUAAUUUAUCUUUUCAGAGGAACCUGUUCUAUAAUUGAUAAUCCACGAUGCAUUCCACUUUAAUUAUACUUGUAUAUCUCUGUCAAGAAUGUUCUAUAAGGAAAGAUUUUCAUUCAUUUUAUAGAUAAAAUGUCAGGUCAAGGUGCAGUUUAUAUUAAAGCAGAAAUGGGUUACAUUUUAUUAAAACUGGAUCAAUAUUUAAAUAAAAUAUUGUGAAAUAGGAUUUGAUAAUAAAUUUGUUAAGUUAAAUUAAUUGAAUCAAGCUCUAGAUUAUGUACACAUCGCCCGUCACUCUCACCCUAAGGUGAGAUAAGUCGUAACAAAGUAGCUGUACCGGAAGGUGUGGCUAGAAUGA